UACGACAAUACAGCGUUGAAACAGCGCUUCCCGUACGAUCGUCGAAUUUAAGCAACGUCGAACUUGGUUAGUACCUCCAUGGGUGACCGCUUAAAAAUACCAGGUGCUGUAA